ACCCCAUUAGUCCAUACCGUCAAUUAUGAAUGUUAAACGUUAUUUUUAAUAAUGUUAAAGUAAACACAUUAAACAUUCCGCCUGGGAAGUAUGUCUGCAAAGAUGAAACUUAAUGAUGUCGGCGGGAAUCUAUAUAAAUGGUGGAGCAUAUGUUUUAAUUUGAUACUACGCAAUAAAUCUUACCUUCUUCUUUGAUGCUAGUUAGUCAUUGAUUUGUUAUAGAUUAAUUGUCACUUUAGCACAGGUAUUGCAUGGCUAUCGUCAGUUCGUAAUGAAAAUUGUCGCAUUUAGUUGUGUUAAACGAACGAAACCCUUAUUUUUAAUUACAAAAUAAAUGUACCUUAAAAAUACAGCUAAUGAAAAAAUUAAGUUUGAGGAAGGAGAGGAUAAUCGUUAAGUCAUCAUGAUCCUAUAUAAGAAAGGGCUUCAUGUAUGCUACAUUGGAAUUAACAACAAGAUACAAAGAUGUAAAUCCAAGUAAAUCUUUAAAAAAUUUCUGUGUUCUGAUUACUUUCUGUAACUCGAAAGUAUGCCGAAGAAAUCAUUAGUAAUCGCAUAUCAUAACGGUGCGGUGAACUUUUAUCUAGAUUUUGUACACACUGCCCGUCACAUUUCUGAAAUGUAUUUA
rnacentral:rRNA from 1 species